UGGCCACCUCCCCCCUUUGCCCCCCACCAGUUGCUGAAAGUGUUGACUGCUCACUGCUUACUUCCUCUCUGGGAAUUGCCUUCUCCUGAGGAAAGCAACCUGGCCUAAGGUUUUCUGAAUGGCUUCUUGGUUCCAAAUAAUCAUCCUCGGAGGUUUUUAUGCAAAGACACGUGAAUUCCUGUCCCACUGAGGAGUUCGGUAUGCUGAAAUGCUUACCACCCACUGGCAGACUUUGUAUCAGAGCUUUGAGUUACUCUUGUGUGAGGCUGGGGCCCAUGCUUCCCAGAACUGUAUCUAUUUUCUUGAUAUCAACUGUCCCUCCUGAGAGAGACGGGCAUAGAAGCAAAAUGUAAGGACUCCAGAAAAAGGACAAAACUAUUCAUUCUUGUAUAUUAUUAUUAUCAUUUCCAGCAUAAGAACUGAGACCCCAAACCAAUAAAUCUGAUAAAAAUAACACAGAGAA